GUUCGUUCCUGCAGGUUUAAAAGUCCAGAUGAAAAAAAAAAGGUCCCGAAAGAAGCAUGAAACAAGAUGUGUGUGAAACCAAAUCAUUUAUUUUGCACAUCAUCGGGCUCCAAUGAACGUUUGCAUUACAGGACGGCAGCACGUCUCCCACACGAGCUUAUGUUGAGGUGAACAGAAGGAGAACAACAAUAAAUUAAAUCACACAGACUUGAAAAGUGAAGUUGACCUUUCGUUCAUUCUCGUUGGGAGUAUUUCUGGCUCCUUUUGUUCAGUUCAGACCCAAACGUUGAUGGCACUUGAAAUAGUCUUAAUAUAAAGAGCAAGGUGUGGUUCGGCCUUACUGAAGUUCAAGAUUAAUGUCUUUAAAAAAGAACAGAAACAGAACGUGCAGCUCUUCUGAAUCCAUGUUACUUUUACUAGGCCAAACUGUACCAGGCCGCGUGGUGUGCAUGUCCCUCUCGGUCCUAACGCUAUUACUCCGCUCCGUUCUGUCCCGCCGUCGCGUCGCCAGCCGCUUCCUUCACUUGGAGCAGCCGGAGCAGCUCGACUGCCUGUCGGAGUCGAGCUGUGGCGACACAGUGUCUGGCACGAUGAACUUUAGGACGCCGUUCUCCGUCGCCAUGAUGUGCUUCACCAGGAGGUUUGCGGCGCCACUGAUGUUGAGAUUGUCCUGCAAAAGAGAAAUGAAAUGAAAACCUACAGAGUGCCGUGGAAGAACGUCUUGGAGAACUUUCUCGUUCUUUGUCGCAAUAUUUUGUCAAUUCAUUUACUUAGUGUACUCAUAAUAUCUCUAUAAAAUGUCAAUAUACGACAAAUACAGCGUGGAAAACUAAUUUUAUCGCUUCUGUUUAGGGCUGCAACUAAACUGUCAAUUAUUUUCUCAAUUAGUCCAGAAAAUUGCAGAAAAUGUUGGUCUGUGUUUCUCAAAAUUGGAAAUGAUGCUCUCAUCAUCAUUUUACUUCUAAAAAAAAAUGUGAUUAACUAUCUUCCUCUCACCGUCACACCGACUGUCUUUAAAACACUUAAAAAAAGAGAAAAAAAAAGAAAAAAAAGACGGAUGUAUCGUUUGUUUUGCUCCAUACGUCCUCCGGCUUCACCUGCCCCCUUCUGACCUUUGACCUUUCAGAAUGCUGAGCCUCGACGCUAGAUGAAAGGUGCUGUGGCAACACAUACAUGUCAGCAGAGGAUGUUUGGAGGAGGACAUGUGUGUAUGUUUACACAUAUAUAUGUGUAUACAUACAUGUGUAUACACACAUAUAUAUGUAUGUAUAUCAACAUCUGGACAAACUCAUAAGGAGCUGAUCUGUCACUGGUCGAUUGCAGCGAGUCGAGUGCAUCUACCUGGUGGGAAACUCAGCUCAAAGCGACCAGGAAAUACCUGGAAGAAGAGUUGAGCGAGUGGGCUAAAAUUGUUGGAGCUGCUGGUCUGUUCCCUGCAGGCUGGUUUGGAGGUACUGGACUAAAAUAUAUUUAAAGAUGAACUUGUGCAACAUUAUGAACAUUAAACAAUUUUCAGUGUUGCCAGAUAUUUACAUGACCAGCAUGC